CACGUAGGGCGCGAGCGUUGUCCGGAAUUAUUGGGCGUAAAGAGCUCGUAGGCGGCCUGUUGCGUCCGCUGUGAAAGCCCGGGGCUUAACCCCGGGUCUGCAGUGGAUACGGGCAGGCUAGAGGUAGGUAGGGGAGAAUGGAAUUCCCGGUGUAGCGGUGAAAUGCGCAGAUAUCGGGAGGAACACCGGUGGCGAAGGCGAUCACCUGGGGUUGUUCUGACGCUGAGGAGCGAAAGCUAGGGGAGCAAACGGG
rnacentral:rRNA from 1 species